GGCGAACUAUGUGCCAGCAGCCGCGGUAAUACAUAGGUGGCAAGCGUUAUCCGGAUUUAUUGGGCGUACAGGGUGCGUAGGCGGUUGUGUAAGUUUGAGGUUAAAGCCCGGAGCUCAACUCCGGUUCGCCUUGAAAACUACAUAACUAGAAUGCAAGAGAGGUAAAUGGAAUUCCAUGUGUAGCGGUAAAAUGCGUAGAUAUAUGGAAGAACACCUGUGGCGAAAGCGGUUUACCAGCUUGUUAUUGACGCUGAGGCACGAAAGCGUGGGGAGCAAAUAGGAUUAGAUACCCUAGUAGUCCACGCCGUAAACGUUGAGUACUAGGUGUCGGGAAUUAUCUUGGCGCCGCAGCUAACGCAUUAAGUACUCCGCCUGAGUAGUAUGCACGCAAGUGUGAAACUCAAAGGAAUUGACGGGGACCCGCACAAGUGGUGGAGCAUGUGGUUUAAUUCGAAGCAACACGAAGAACCUUACCAGGGCUUGACAUCCAGUGCAAAGGCAUAGAGAUAUGCUGGAGGCUAACAUUGAGACAGGUGGUGCAUGGUUGUCGUCAGUUCGUGCCGUGAGGUGUUUGGUUAAGUCCAGCAACGAACGCAACCCUUGUCAUUAGUUACUAACAUUAAGUUGAGGACUCUAAUGAGACUGCUAGUGUAAGCUAGAGGAAGGUGGGGAUGACGUCAAAUCAUCAUGCCCCUUAUGUCCUGGGCUACACACGUGCUACAAUGGCUGAUACAAAGAGUCGCAAUCUCGCAAGGAGGAGCUAAUCUCAUAAAAUCAGUCUCAGUUCGGAUUGANGGCUGCAACUCGCCNUCAUGAAGCCGGAAUCACUAGUAAUCGCGAAUCAGNNANGUCGCGGUGAAUACGUUCUCGGGUCUUGUACACACCGCCCGUCACACCACGAGAGUUGGUAACACCAGAAGUAGGUAGCNUAACCGCAAGGAGGGCGCNUACNAAGGUGGGAUUAGCGAUUGGGGUG
rnacentral:rRNA from 1 species